UCGUCGCCAUGUUGUGGAAGCUGAUUUGCUCGGUAAUUUUCACGGUUUUUUUGUCUUCUCGCGGCUCGCUACAAGUUUUUCUUUGCUAAUAUUUUAUUCGUGAGUGUCGUGAACCAGUUGGCAAAAAACGUAUUUUAUUAAGUGCAAUUUACCAUCAAAACGCGAUUCUGUUGGCCGUAAACAUCGGCUAGGAUUUCGCGUAUUUCGACGACGACGGGUAUGAAGAAAAAAGUCGGAUUUCAGGUCACGGAACUGUGCAAGCGGAUCCUGAAGGCAAUCCUCCAAAUUGGAUACAAAGUGCCAACUCACAUCCAACACAAAACUAUUUAUCACAGCAGUGGGAUCAGAGCACUGAUUUAAUAAUGAGCCGCGAUGUGGUUGCAAUGGUCAUGACUGGCUUGGUGAAUCCGGAUUCCGAACGACGCGUCUAUAAUUUCGGUGCUAGAGCGUUACUUAUGUUGUUUGGAAAUACAAAAUCCAGUACGAAACUGUUAGCGGUAGUGCACCAGGACAUCUUUUCGAUGGGUUUCGGCGAGAAGAAGAACUAUGCGGAAGUUGUACGAUUAAAAUAGAUGGUCCUGUUCUGCGCAAGCUGGUGGUCGAUGAGGGCUGGCUUGAGCGAUCCAACGCUGAUCCGAUUGGACGUAGAGUCGUAAAUUCCGACAGCACUGCAUUUGAAAUUCUUUUGAAGGCCGGAGGGAAAUGGUCCACUCAUUUCUUUUGGUCCGUGAGGGGAUUCAAAAACACGCCCAAACUGUGUUUGACGGGCUCGCAGCAUCACGUUGAAUUGAUUUCUCUGAUUUGGUCAACACCUACGCGCACGGCAACUUUGAAACGCCUAUUGAGAACUCCUCCAGGCUGAUUUUGCAACCACUGAGAAAGGAUUAGAUUGCCGUUGCAUUGAUGGUUUGAAACUCCAAGAACAUUUGAAAAAGACUUGACGUAUCGUCGAUGUAUCGCCUUCCUGUAAGCCCUCUACGGUAAUUUCUCCGCGCCGCAGUCUGAGAAAACAAUUGUCACGUGUUGGUAAGCAGAGCCGUACAAUUUUGUUUCGGCGUGAUCAUCUGGAUCUAUCCACUGAUUUCUUGGCGGCGCCGAUAUGUUCUCGGUCCCGCGGUCGUACUAUUGAAGGACAGUGAAGUAACAACGAAGGAGAGCAUCGCAUUCCGGCACAACAGGGAACGCCGAUGAGGAUGGUUACCACAAGCAACCACUUUCGAUAAAGACCCUUGAAGAACAAAUUUUAAAUGCAGAA